CCUACGGGAGGCAGCAGUGGGGGAUAUUGCACAAUGGGGGAAACCCUGAUGCAGCGACGCCGCGUGUGGGAAGACGGUCCUCUGGAUUGUAAACCACUGUCCCCAGGGACGAAAAUGACGGUACCUGAGUAAGAAGCACCGGCUAAAUACGUGCCAGCAGCCGCGGUAAUACGUAGGGAGCGAGCGUUGUCCGGAAUUACUGGGUGUAAAGGGAGCGUAGGCGGGAUUGCAAGUUGGAUGUGAAAACUGCGGGCUCAACCCGGAGCGUGCAUUCAAAACUGCGAUUCUUGAGUGAAGUAGGGGCA
rnacentral:rRNA from 1 species